rnacentral:rRNA from 1 species
GGACGGGUGAGUAAUGUCUGGGAAACUGCCCGAUGGAGGGGGAUAACUACUGGAAACGGUAGCUAAUACCGCAUAACGUCGCAAGACCAAAGUGGGGGACCUUCGGGCCUCACACCAUCGGAUGUGCCCAGAUGGGAUUAGCUAGUAGGUGGGGUAAUGGCUCACCUAGGCGACGAUCCCUAGCUGGUCUGAGAGGAUGACCAGCCACACUGGAACUGAGACACGGUCCAGACUCCUACGGGAGGCAGCAGUGGGGAAUAUUGCACAAUGGGCGCAAGCCUGAUGCAGCCAUGCCGCGUGUAUGAAGAAGGCCUUCGGGUUGUAAAGUACUUUCAGCGGGGAGGAAGGCGGUGAGGUUAAUAACCUUGGCAAUUGACGUUACCCGCAGAAGAAGCACCGGCUAACUCCGUGCCAGCAGCCGCGGUAAUACGGAGGGUGCAAGCGUUAAUCGGAAUUACUGGGCGUAAAGCGCACGCAGGCGGUCUGUUAAGUCAGAUGUGAAAUCCCCGGGCUUAACCUGGGAACUGCAUUUGAAACUGGCAGGCUUGAGUCUCGUAGAGGGGGGUAGAAUUCCAGGUGUAACGGUGAAAUGCGUAGAGAUCUGGAGGAAUACCGGUGGCGAAGGCGGCCCCCUGGACGAAGACUGACGCUCAGGUGCGAAAGCGUGGGGAGCAAACAGGAUUACAUACCCUGGUAGUCCACGCCGUAAACGAUGUCGACUUGGAGGUUGUGCCCUUGAGGCGUGGCUUCCGGAGCUAACGCGUUAAGUCGACCGCCUGGGGAGUACGGCCGCAAGGUUAAAACUCAAAUGAAUUGACGGGGGCCCGCACAAGCGGUGGAGCAUGUGGUUUAAUUCGAUGCAACGCGAAGAACCUUACCUGGCCUUGACAUCCAGAGAACUUAGCAGAGAUGCUUUGGUGCCUUCGGGAACUCUGAGACAGGUGCUGCAUGGCUGUCGUCAGCUCGUGUUGUGAAAUGUUGGGUUAAGUCCCGCAACGAGCGCAACCCUUAUCCUUUGUUGCCAGCGGUUCGGCCGGGAACUCAAAGGAGACUGCCGGUGAUAAACCGGAGGAAGGUGGGGAUGACGUCAAGUCAUCAUGGCCCUUACGGCCAGGGCUACACACGUGCUACAAUGGCGCAUACAAAGAGAAGCGACCUCG